rnacentral:lncRNA from 1 species
GCCAUGGCAGGUGGGAGGGGAGAGGGAGGAGAGAGAUAAUUUAAGUUUGCAGGAUGCAAUUUUCCUCAAUAUAAACAUUCUAAUGCAAUUUGAUGCCCGUUGUGUUUUGGUGCGCCAGGCGGGAGCUUUUAUUUUGCAGAUUUAUUUUUAGCACUCUGAGUUUAUACAGGGGUAACCCAAGACAAUGGUUGGUUGCUUAUUCCCAGUGCCACGAGCCAAGCUUUAGAAGUUCUGACAUGCAGGAUGGACAUGGGAGCUGAGGCUCUUUCACUCAUACACUGCUAUAGUGCCAGCAUCUCCCUAGCUUGAUUUUGCUCUUUUUAAAACCAAGUGGAGAAAUCAUGUAAAAUCCAUUAAUGGUGGCAGGGCAUUACGAGAUCCUCUAGUGAAGUGUGCAUGCUGCUUUCAAGUCAGUCAUUAAUCAGGAUGUGAUUAAUGCUACUGAGUGUGCCAUCUGUGUGAAAGGAAAGGCAGUUAGGAUUUCACUAGGCAAUGACUUCACCCUGCUCCUGUUCUCAGCACACGUAGCAGAACAGCAGUAUGGCAUGCUGGAAGUGUUACCUGAUUUCCCAGACUUCUGUAAUUAGAUGGUUUGAGUUCAAGCAUUCAAGAAAUUAAGUGAAAGAUUUCUGUCUGUCAGGUGAGGAAGGGACCUCUGUACAGCGCUGUUGAUUUGGGACCACAGAGAGGGGAGGUUUGUACUCUUUUUAGAGGCCAAGGAUGAAACUUUCUGGACACAUCUUUGAAAUACUGAGCUAAGAGGACUUCACUCUACAUUUACCUGCUAUAAGAGAAUUUCCUACAGGACCUAUCUCCUUGUUUCAUUGCUUGUCUUGUUGCUCUGUCUUUACAGGAUAAAUUUAAGCACCAUACUGUUUAAAUGCAGCAAGCGGUGAGAAGAAAGGCCUCUGCACUUGUGCAAUGUGUUUCUUGAUCUACCUCAUCGUAAAGACUGCAGGACUCUGGGACAGGACCCUUCUACCUUGCACAGCCCAUGGUGUCCCUGAGUGCCUCCAGCUCUGCCCUCCUUCAUCUCAUCCCGGACCCUUCAUUCUUCUGAAAGAAUCACAAAAUCAUUCAGGUCGGGAAAGACCUCUAUUGGAGCACUUAGAGGAAAACCUGGCAGAUUUCUUGAAUUUGGCCAAUGAAGACAAACACAGGACCUGCCUGGAUCUCACAGCCACAAAGCCCAGCCCGAGCUCACACCGAGCUGGCACGCUGCUUGUGCACCGCCUGCGCCCAGCGAUGCAAGGAUUACUUGCCCUAGUGUUGCUUCACUUGCUGCAAACCCAAUGCAAGCCAAAACAGCAGAAAGAACCCUGGGCUGUGGAAAUGGCUUUUCAUGGUGAAUUUAUUUCCACUUUGAAAAACUGGCAGCAGCUGUAG